GGAUAGAGCAUUGCAAUUAUUGCUCUUCAACGAGGAAUGCCUAGUAGGCACGAGUCAUCAGCUCGUGCCGAUUACGUCCCUGCCCUUUGUACACACCGCCCGUCGCUACUACCGAUUGAAUGGCUUGGUGAGGCCUUCGGACUGGCUCCAGGGGGUUGGCAACGACCCCCCAGAGCCGGAAAGUUGGUCAAACCUGGUCAUUUAGAGGAAGUAAAAGU
rnacentral:rRNA from 1 species